GACGAACGCUGGCGGCGUGCUUAACACAUGCAAGUCGAACGGAAAGGCCCUUUUCGUGGGGUACUCUAGUGUCGAACGGGUGAGUAACACGCGAGUAACCCGCCCUUGACUUUUUGAUAUCUUUAUGAAACUCGGGCUAAUACCCGAUAUGAGCUCUUGUUCUAUGGUGGGGGUUGGAAAGUUUCGGCGGGUGGGGAUGGACACGCGGCUUAUCAGCGUGUUGGUGGGGUAGGGGCUUACCAAUGCUUUUACGGGUAUCCGGCCUGGGAGGGUGACCGGGCACAUUGGGACUGGGAUUAGGCCCAGAAUCCUACGGGAGGAAACAGUGGGGAAUAUUGCAAAAUGGGUGGGAGCCCGAUGGCGCAACGGCGGGUGCGGGAGGACGGGCCUCGGGUUGGAAACCCGUUUCGCUCUUGACGAAGCUUUGUGUGACGGUAAUGGGUAAAGAAGCACCGGCUAACUACGUG
rnacentral:rRNA from 1 species